CCCCUAGAUGUUCUGGGCCGCACGCGCGCUACACUGAACAGUUCAACAAGUCUUAACCUUGGCCGAUAGGUCUGGGUAAUCUUUGAACGCUGUUCGUGAUUGGGAUAGGCCUUUGCAAUUAUGGGUCUUCAACGAGGAAUUCCUAGUAAACGCAAGUCAUCAACUUGCAUUGAUUACGUCCCUGCCCUUUGUACACACCGCCCGUCGCACCUACCGAUUGAAUGGUCCGGUGAAGCCUCCGGAUUGGCGCGCACCUCGGUGCCGCCGAGAAGUUGGCUAAACCUUACCAUUUAGAGGAAGGUGAAGUCGUAACA
rnacentral:rRNA from 1 species